rnacentral:lncRNA from 1 species
UCGCCGGGGCUUUCUCCCAAGGCCUCGAUAUGGUGGUGAACGUGGCAUGGAGGAAUCGGACCUGCCUACCCAGUGGGCCCGACCUCCAGAAGGGACCCUCGGUCUUGAGAGGGGUCGGAUCCCGCUGGGGCCGCACCCUUCUCUCGCUUCGGCCUGCGCAACUGCGCUCUGGGCUGACAGGCGGAUAAAAAGAUCCCAUCAAGAUUGA